rnacentral:rRNA from 1 species
GACAGAGGGCGCGAGCGUUGUUCGGAAUACUGGGCGUAAAGCGCACGCAGGCGGCUGCGUAAGUCUGACGUGAAAUCUCCCGGCUUAACCGGGAGCGGUCGUUGGAAACUAUGCGGCUUGAGGCGAUGAGAGGGGUGUGGAAUUCCCGGUGUAGUGGUGGAAUGCGUAGAUAUCGGGAGGAACAUCAGUGGCGAAGGCGACUACCUGGCCUGUUUCUUGACGCUGAGGCGCGAAAGCUAGGGGAGCAAACGGG